GAUCAUUACAGAGAACUUGCCCUUCGGGGUAGAUCUCCCACCCUUUGUAUACCUUUCUGGUGUUGCUUUGGCAGGCCCGUCCUUCGGGACCGCUGGCUUCGGCUGGCCUGUGCCUGCCAGAGGACUUUAAACUCUUUGUUUUUUGUCGUCUGAGUACUUAUAAUAAUAAGUUAAAACUUUCAACAACGGAUCUCUUGGUUCUGGCAUCGAUGAAGAACGCAGCGAAAUGCGAUAAGUAAUGUGAAUUGCAGAAUUCAGUGAAUCAUCGAAUCUUUGAACGCACAUUGCGCCCUCUGGUAUUCCGGGGGGCAUGCCUGUUCGAGCGUCAUUACACCCCUCAAGCUCUGCUUGGUGUUGGGCGUCACCGUCUGUCGGUGCGCCUUAAAGACAGUGGCGGCGCCAUCUGGCUUCAAGCGUAGUAAUACUUCUCGCUUUGGAGGACCCGGUGGUAGCUUGCCAGCCAACCCCAAUUUUCUAAGGUUGACCUCGGAUCAGGUAGGGAUACCCGCUGAACUUAAGCAUAUCAAUAAGCGGAGGAAAAGAAACCAACAGGGAUUGCCUCAGUAACGGCGAGUGAAGCGGCAUCAGCUCAAAUUUGAAAUCUGGCUUCGGCCCGAGUUGUAAUUUGUAGAGAAUGUUUCGGGCGUGGUCCGGUCUAAGUUCCUUGGAACAGGACGUCACAGAGGGUGAGAAUCCCGUGUGAUCGGGUGCCGCAGUCCAUGUGAAACUUCUUCGACGAGUCGAGUUGUUUGGGAAUGCAGCUCAAAAUGGGUGGUAAAUUUCAUCUAAAGCUAAAUAUUGGCCAGAGACCGAUAGCGCACAAGUAGAGUGAUCGAAAGAUGAAAAGCACUUUGGAAAGAGAGUUAAAUAGUACGUGAAAUUGUUGAAAGGGAAGCGCUUGCAACCAGACUUGCAUGCAGUUGAUCAUCCGGUGUUCUCACCGGUGCACUCGAUUGUAUUCAGGCCAGCAUCGGUUCUAGCGGUUGGAUAAAGGCUUUGGGAACGUAGCUCCUCCGGGAGUGUUAUAGCCCAAGGUGCAAUGCAGCCUGCUGGGACCGAGGACCGCGCU
rnacentral:rRNA from 1 species